GGUGUGCUCGGCGGUCACAGACCCACUCAGGACACCUCCCGUUGCCGGCGGGCUAGACCUCCCUUAAAGGGGUCCCCGUGUCUCUCCAGUCUACAGCCUAAGUUCAAACGAGGCGUAUAGGCGAGGACAGCAGGAAGGCUCCAAGUCAAACAGAAAUGGAUGGGAAGUGGUCUUGGGAAACCUGAAGACAGUGGGAUAUUCAGAAGGCCAAGGGGAUCCAGCUUAUCCUGUUGGGCAAGGUGCUGGGAGUGAAGGCAAAGAUUCCACUGAUGAUUUCCAGGAACUACCGAAGCCACGGAUCAGCUGAGUUACCCGGGCUAAUAGCAGGAGGAAACAGUGUCAGAGAGGGAUCUGGCUGAUCUUCAUCUCCACUAAGUUCUCCCCAAGGGUCUUGCUCUGUCACCCAGGCUGGAGUGCAGUGCCACAAUCACAGCUCACUACAACCUCAACUUUCCUGGCUCAGUGAUUAUCCCACCUCAGCCUCCUGAGUAGCUGGGACUAACAGGCAUGUGCCAACACGCCCCACUCAUUUUUUUUUUAUUUUUUGUAGAGAUGGGGUUUCACCAUGUUGUCCAGGCUGGUCUCAAACUCCUGGGCUCAAGCGAUCCUCCCUGCCUUGGCCUGUGCUGGGAUUACAGGUGUGAGCCACCGUGCUGGCCUCAGUACUAUUUUUUAUUGA
rnacentral:antisense_RNA from 1 species